GUGGGGAAUUUUGGACAAUGGGCGCAAGCCUGAUCCAGCGACGCCGCGUGGAGGACGAAGGCCUUCGGGUUGUAAACUCCUUUUGGCGGGGAAGAAUAAAUUGACGGUACCCUCAGAAAAAGCCACGGCUAACUACGUGCCAGCAGCCGCGGUAAUACGUAGGUGGCGAGCGUUACUCGGAAUUACUAGGCGUAAAGCGUAUGUAGGUGGUUAGAUAAGUCUAUGGUGAAAUUUCCUGGCUUAACUGGGAAGGGACAUAGAUACUAUCUGGCUUGAGUGUGGGAGGGGGAGAAGGAAUUCCUGGUGUAGCGGUGAAAUGCGUAGAUAUCAGGAGGAAGACCGAUGGCGAAAGCAGUCUCCUGGCCCAAUACUGACACUGAGGUACGAAAGCUAUGGUAGCAAACAGGAUUAGAUACCCGUGUAGUCC
rnacentral:rRNA from 1 species